rnacentral:rRNA from 1 species
UACGUAGGGUGCGAGCGUUAAUCGGAAUUACUGGGCGUAAAGCGUGCGCAGGCGGUACGUUAAGACAGGUGUGAAAUCCCCGGGCUUAACCUGGGAAUUGCGCUUGUGACUGGCGUGCUCGAGUGCGGCAGAGGGGGGUGGAAUUCCACGUGUAGCAGUGAAAUGCGUAGAGAUGUGGAGGAACACCGAUGGCGAAGGCAGCCCCCGGGGCCGACAAUGACUCUCAGGCACGAAAGCGUGGGGAGCAAACAGG